rnacentral:rRNA from 1 species
UACGUAGGGUGCAAGCGUUAAUCGGAAUUACUGGGCGUAAAGCGUGCGCAGGCGGUUAUGCAAGACAGAGGUGAAAUCCCCCGGGCUCAACCGUGGGAACUGCCUUUGUGACUGCAUAGCUAGAGUACGGUAGAGGGGAUGGAAUUCCGCGGUGUAGCAGUGAAAUGCGUAGAUAUGCGGAGGAACACGAUGGCGAAGGCAAUCCCCUGGACCUGUACUGACGCUCAUGCACGAAAGCGUGGGGAGCAAACAGG